GACGAAUGCUGGCGGCGUGCCUAAUACAUGCAAGUCGAGCGGACCAAAGGGAGCUUGCUCCUGGAGGUUAGCGGCGAACGGGUGAGUAACACGUGGGCAACCUGCCUGUAAGACUGGGAUAACAUCGAGAAAUCGGUGCUAAUACCGGAUAAUAAAAAGAACUGCAUGGUCUUUUUUGAGAGAUGGUUUCGGCUAUCACUUACAGAUGGGCCCGCGGCGCAUUAGCUAGUUGGUGAGGUAACGGCUCACCAAGGCAACGAUGCGUAGCCGACCUGAGAGGUGAUCGGCCACACUGGGACUGAGACACGGCCCAGACU
rnacentral:rRNA from 1 species